rnacentral:rRNA from 1 species
GGCGAACGCUGGCGGCGUGCCUAAUACAUGCAAGUAGAACGCUGAAGGAGGAGCUUGCUUCUCUGGAUGAGUUGCGAACGGGUGAGUAACGCGUAGGUAACCUGCCUGGUAGCGGGGGAUAACUAUUGGAAACGAUAGCUAAUACCGCAUAAGAGUAGAUGUUGCAUGACAUUUGCUUAAAAGGUGCAAUUGCAUCACUACCAGAUGGACCUGCGUUGUAUUAGCUAGUUGGUGGGGUAACGGCUUACCAAGGCGACGAUACAUAGCCGACCUGAGAGGGUGAUCGGCCACACUGGGACUGAGACACGGCCCAGACUCCUACGGGAGGCAGCAGUAGGGAAUCUUCGGCAAUGGACGGAAGUCUGACCGAGCAACGCCGCGUGAGUGAAGAAGGUUUUCGGAUCGUAAAGCUCUGUUGUAAGAGAAGAACGAGUGUGAGAGUGGAAAGUUCACACUGUGACGGUAUCUUACCAGAAAGGGACGGCUAACUACGUG